rnacentral:lncRNA from 1 species
UGAGGGAAUUGCUGAGGGAAUAACAGGUUGAGGAGUUGUAUAAACACUGUAAUUGCUAAUGGGAAAACAGCACAGCACAGCUCAGUAUCCAUUCAACCCAUGGUGUGAGAAGGGGUAAAACUACUCCAGGUUGACUCCAGCCUCUUCCACACAUUUCUCAUAUGCCCUGUUUUAAUUCUCCUUGCUAUCUAGGAAAUGGGGACCGGUAAUAACUAGCCACAGUACCUGGGGCUUUCUGUCGCUGAUAGAUCUGCACACAGAAACUGCGCUUGCAAUUGUGUCAACAUCUGUCUCAAAAGGAGCUGAGAGGCUGAGGAUGAAAUGCUUGUGUUGUUUAUCUGCAUCUCACUUAAGCUGAAAGUAUAUUGAAGUGCCCAGUGCUGGUGAAUUUGCACAUCAACCAGUGAAAUCCAUGUGAGUAGAAAAUGUGCAUUUUCUCAGUCUGGAUAUUGGCAGAGGGAUCAUCUAUCACCUGCCUUUCCUGGCUAGCAUGGGCCCGCAUUUGUGUUUGGAAUCUGUCAUCAGGUUUUGUGCUGAGUUAGUGUUGUUAACUUCAGUGAAAAUGUAGCUCCUAAAAGAUCUAGAAAUCACAGCUUCUGCUUUGGAAGGGCACCACGGGCCUCCUUGUGGAUGAGUAAUACAAAGUCCUGGAAGCAGGAUUGUUAUUCAAAUGCCAU